CACUGGUCGAGUCGGCCUGCGCGGAAGAUGUAACGGGGCUAAACCAUGCACCGAAGCUGCGGCAGCGACACUAUGUGUUGUUGGGUAGGGGAGCGUUCUGUAAGCCUGCGAAGGUGUGCUGUGAGGCAUGCUGGAGGUAUCAGAAGUGCGAAUGCUGACAUAAGUAACGAUAAAGCGGGUGAAAAGCCCGCUCGCCGGAAGACCAAGGGUUCCUGUCCAACGUUAAUCGGGGCAGGGUGAGUCGACCCCUAAGG
rnacentral:rRNA from 1 species